GCGCUUACCAGCCAAAGGUGAGUGCGGCACACAGCUCAGUAGCACGUGGCUAACCUGCCCUCGAGACGGGAACAACCCCGGGAAACUGGGGCUAAUUCCCGAUAGGUGAAGAGCUCUGGAAUGAGCCUUUACCCAAACAGCAAUCAGGCUAUGCUUCUGGUUGUCGCUCGAGGAUGGGGCCGCGACCGAUCAGGUUGUUGGUGAGGUAACGGCUCACCAAGCCUAUAACCGGUGCGGGCCGUGGGAGCGGGAGCCCGGAGAUGGGUACUGAGACAAGGACCCAGGCCCUACGGGGCGCAGCAGUCGCGCAAACUUUGCAAUACACGAAAGUGUGACAGGGCUAUCCCGAGUGCCGUCCGCUGAGGAUGGCUUUUACCCAGUCUAGAAAGCUGGGGGAAUAAGGAGAGGGCAAGUCUGGUGUCAGCCGCCGCGGUAAUACCAGCUCUCCGAGUGGUGUGGAUGUUUAUUGGGCCUAAAGCAUCCGUAGCUGGCCAAGUUAGUCCUUUGUUAAACCCACCGAAUUAAUCGUUGGAUUGCGGGGGAUACUGCUCGGCUAGGGGACGAGAGAGGCAGACGGUAUUCUCGGGGUAGGGGUGAAAUCCUAUAAUCCCGAGAAGACCACCAGUGGCGAAGGCUGUCUGCUAGAACGCGCCCGACGGUGAGGGAUGAAAGCUGGGGGAGCGAACCGGAUUAGAUACCCGGGUAGUCCCAGCUGUAGACGAUGCGGGCUAGGUGUUAGGGUGGCUACGAGCCACUCUAGUGCCGCAGGGAAACUGUUAAGCCCGCCGCCUGGGGGAGUACGGCCGCAAGGCUGAAACUUAAAAGGAAUUG
rnacentral:rRNA from 1 species